rnacentral:snRNA from 1 species
UUGCUCACUGUGGCAGCACAUAUACUAAAACUGGAAGGUACAGAGAAGAUUAGCAUGGCCUCUGUGCAAGGAUGACACAGGAAUUUGUGAAGCAUCCUUUAAGAUA